CCUACGGGAGGCAGCAGUGAGGAAUAUUGGUCAAUGGGCGAGAGCCUGAACCAGCCAAGUAGCGUGAAGGAUGACUGCCCUAUGGGUUGUAAACUUCUUUUAUAUAGGAAUAAAGUGAGGCACGUGUGCCAUUUUGUAUGUACCUUAUGAAUAAGGAUCGGCUAACUCCGUGCCAGCAGCCGCGGUAAUACGGAGGAUCCGAGCGUUAUCCGGAUUUAUUGGGUUUAACGGGCGCGUAGAUGGGUUGUUAAGUCAGUUGUGAAAGUUUGCGGCUCAACCGUAAAAUUGCAGUUGAUACUGGCAGUCUUGAGUACAGUAGAGGUAGGCGGAAUUCGUGGUGUAGCGGUGAAAUGCUUAGAUAUCACGAAGAACUCCGAUUGCGAAGGCAGCUUACUAGACUGCAACUGACAUUGAGGCUCGAAAGUGUGGGUAUCAAACAGGAUUAGAUACCCGUGUAGUC
rnacentral:rRNA from 1 species